rnacentral:rRNA from 1 species
AGUGAACGCUGGCGGUAGGCCUAACACAUGCAAGUCGAACGGCAGCACAGGAGAGCUUGCUCGCUGGGUGGCGAGUGGCGGACGGGUGAGGAAUACAUCGGAAUCUACCUUUUCGUGGGGGAUAACGUAGGGGAACUUACGCUAAUACCGCAUACGACCUACGGGUGAAAGUGGGGGACCGCAAGGCCUCACGCGAUUAGAUGAGCCGAUGUCCGAUUAGCUAGUUGGCGGGGUAAUGGCCCACCAAGGCGACGAUCGGUAGCUGGUCUGAGAGGAUGAUCAGCCACACUGGAACUGAGACACGGUCCAGACUCCUACGGGAGGCAGCAGUGGGGAAUAUUGGACAAUGGGCGCAAGCCUGAUCCAGCCAUACCGCGUGGGUGAAGAAGGCCUUCGGGUUGUAAAGCCCUUUUGUUGGGAAAGAAAUCCUGUCGAUUAAUACUCGGUGGGGAUGACGGUACCCAAAGAAUAAGCACCGGCUAACUUCGUGCCAGCCGCCGCCGUAAGAC